rnacentral:lncRNA from 1 species
CUGUUAGUAGUCCCUAUAUAUGAUUCCUACAGCAGCCGGCUGAUUGGGCCUCGGAAACUGAUUUGCAAAUCUACCGUUCCAUCUAAAGUUUCAUGUUUUGCUUUGGUAGCAGCAAGGGAGAAUGUCUUACUCAAAAAAAAAUUAUAGAGGGGCAUUUCACUAUGUAACAGAUGCUUUAUUUGCAGUAGUUCUUUGGAGAGUUGCAGCCAUUUAUUGUUACAUUGCAGCUACACUUGGCAGAUUUCGUCUCUAUUUCUCAACCUGUUUGGAGUAAGAUGGGUGAUGCCACAAGAUGUCAAGCAACUUCUACUAUGUUGGGAAGGACAUAGGGUGGACAGCAAAUGCAAAUAGAUUUGGAAGACUAUUCCCAUAUGCAUGUGUAUCAUCUGGACUAUGUGGCUUGAAACAAAAAGGAUGUGUGUUGAAGGGAAGGGUGAGAAUAUUUCUUUUGUCAAGUUUAAAUUCUUACAGAACUUAUAGUUCUGAUGCAAAGGAAACACAUUAGGAUAGUAUGUACAGUUUUUGGAUUUUUUUGGACUCUCUGAGUCAAUAGCAUAAAUUGAUAUUCUGCUUCUUUUGUACUCUUUCAUACCUUCUUGGUACUGAUAUUAAUAAAAUUACCUCACCUUAUCAAGAAAAGGAAAAAGAAAUGUAGAGCCCGUUGUCAAUAGGAGAAAAGAGGAAAAAAAUAGGACUCAAGCUUGGAGUUGAUGGCUUAAUAAUAACUCUUUAAGUCCAAAAAAUCAUUGGGGCUUAGGUAGUGCAAGUCCAAAUGGGUAAAAGAAAGUCGCAUUCUCAAAGUCCACAAUCAUUGUCUUGGGCCUAGACAUAUCCCGUCUAAGAUAUUACGGAAGUUCUAAAAAUAACAAGUAGAACGAACUUGUACCAAAAGCGAGAAGUCCAAACUAGGGCAGUUGUUUGAUAUCUAAAAUAAGGCUUCACAUUUAAGCAAGAAAGUAUAGAACUGGGUGUUUUCUAUGAUCCCUAUUAACAAAAUAGCAUAUUCAGAAAUUAUCUUAUGCCAUGAAAUUGCUUAUACAAGGAUAAAAGGUAACAUUGUUUAAGGCCAUUCAAAGGAUUAAAGCAUUAAAAUUCAGAGAUAAAGUUGUUAAAAUGAAGUCUAAACAUUGCAAGACAAAUGCGAUGCUAGUCUAAAGCCCCUAUAUUCUGAAUCAUCAACAUCUGACCAGAAAUAUAUAUCUAACUUAAAUCUAUGCAUUAUCUGAUGUCGUAUAAUCUUAUCUGACUAUCAUUAUUACAAUAUCAUCUCGGUUUGUUACAACCAACAAUCAUUUAACUUGAUAACGCAUAUUUGCAUGGUUCUUAUGAUUACAAUAUCAUCUAGGUUUGUUACAACCAACAAUCAUUUAACUCAAUAACGCAUAUUUGCAUGGUUCUUAUUGGUGUAUGAAUGACAUGCCCCAGAGGUUAACUUCCCUAUCACUACAUUUGUGUUGACCAUGACUUCCUUUAAAAUCCCAUGCCAAAAACUGCCCUGACAAGACACUCCGUCCAGAAAUUAUUUCAAACUUGGGAGAUUGUGGAUGUUAUGAAGUGUAAAGUAAUGAUGGUUUUAGAUUUAAUAAUUUCCAAAACAAUCCUUUCUUGUUGAGGCAUUUAGAUAAUUCAAUCAUUUGUCCUAGCAUUUUCUUGUUGAGGAGUUUAUAGUUUCAUAUGUAGUGGCAGAGUCAGUUUUAUGAGUUGCAUGCCGUCCAUCCGACAGAAAAUUACCUACUGUCUUUUUAAGUUCAACCAAUAAACUUGACGUCUCUCUUUAAAUAUAAGGGGUCAACAAAAAGUUAUGAUGGAUAAAUAAAAAUAAUCUUGGGAUAAAAAUUUGGUACAACCUUAUGUUUGGUUACUAAUCUUGGGAUAAGUUGUCUCCGGAUUAAAAAUAGUACCAAGAUAACUUAUACCUACCAGCGGGUAGAAUAGUAAUCUCAGGAAAAGUUAUCCCAGGAUACAACAACAACA